rnacentral:pre_miRNA from 1 species
CUGCGUCAUGGAUCGCGGGGGGACGCCGCCGCGGACCGGUCAAUGUGGCGGUUCCCGACGGAGGCUCGGCGGUC